rnacentral:rRNA from 1 species
GACGAACGCUGGCGGCGUGCUUAACACAUGCAAGUCGAGCGAUGAAGUUUCCUUCGGGAAAUGGAUUAGCGGCGGACGGGUGAGUAACACGUGGGUAACCUGCCUCAUAGAGGGGAAUAGCCUUUCGAAAGGAAGAUUAAUACCGCAUAAGAUUGUAAUGUCGCAUGACAUAGCAAUUAAAGGAGCAAUCCGCUAUGAGAUGGACCCGCGUCGCAUUAGCUAGUUGGUGAGGUAACGGCUCACCAAGGCGACGAUGCGUAGCCGACCUGAGAGGGUGAUCGGCCGCAUUGGGACUGAGACACGGCCCAGACUCCUACGGGAGGCAGCAGUGGGGAAUAUUGCACAAUGGGGGAAACCCUGAUGCAGCAACGCCGCGUGAGUGAUGACGGUCUUCGGAUUGUAAAGCUCUGUCUUUAGGGACGAUAAUGACGGUACCUAAGGAGGAAGCCACGGCUAACUACGUGCCAGCCGCCGCCGUAA